rnacentral:sRNA from 1 species
CUGACAGCACCGGAGAGCAAAGACCUGUCUUUAUCCACAGAACUGGUACAGCACAGGCAGCAGCAGUGCAAGCUUUCUAUGCUCCUCCCUGACCUGGAGGGACCACUUCGUCAGGAGAAAGAGGAGUUCAGUCCCCAGGCCCAAUCCAGCUUUGGCCUCU